GGCGUCUUAGCUCAGAUGGUAGAGCAACGGACUGAAAAUCCGUGUGUCCCCAGUUCGAUUCUGGGAGACGCCA
rnacentral:tRNA from 1 species